UGGCCACCGAAUCGUCUGAUGGACCGAGCCGCACCAGCUGAGCCACCUGCCAGAAGCUUCACUCUGAUUGGCUGUCCAACAGGAAAUGGAAAACAAAUCAAGACCAGAGGAUGAAGUUGCAAAUUUAACUCUGAGGGGCGAACCAUCAACGAAACGGCCCAGCGAUCCCACUGACAGAGCAGGAGGAAGGCCGGUAUAGAGGUUUGACCAUGCGUGACCGCCGCCCCGCCCUCAACGAACCCCCGACAGAGAGAUCAUGAUCACUGGACGGCGAGGCUUUCAGCUCACAGCCCGCGUGUCUGUUUCUCCAACAUGCAACAACGUUCGUCAGAGCUGUCGGUUCCUCGUCUGAACCCAGAGAAGAUACUGAACCGUCAUCAGCUGCUCUGAAAACAGAUUUACAAACUGGACAGAUGCUACAAGUUGACGAAAACUUGACUCCUGCAGAGG